CGACCACCAGCAGGGGCCGGAGGCGCCACUGCUGCAGCAGCGCCGAGGCCGAGACUCAGACCUGCUACACCAGCGUGAAGGAGGCUGUGGUGACCAAUCGGAGGGCUGUAGGUAACUUUGUGAACCCAGCACCAAAUGACACAAGACCAACCAACCAGUUCUUCCUUGCACCCUGAUCAGACAGAGUCUGGGCAGGAAACAGACUGCACAUCCAAAAGGGUUAACUCAGAAUAAUCAAAUGAAGGGACUACUGCAAAUGUUUUGGCAGGAUGAAGGAAAGACAACAAAUGAUGCUGAAGCACCCUAGGCUAGAAAAAGAGGGAGCUGUUACUACCCCAGAAGAGUCAAGGGGAGGGGAUGUGUAUUAGUCUGUUUCACGCUGCUGAUAAAGACAUACCAGAGACUGGUUAAUUUAGAAAGAAAAAGAGAUUUAAUGGACUCACAUUUCCAUGUGGCUGGGGAGGCCUCACAAUCAUGGCCAAAGGCGAAAGGCAUGUCUUACAUGGUGGCAGACGAGAGAAUGAGAACCAAGCAAAAGAGGUUACCCUUAUAAAACCAUCAGAUCUCGUGAGACUUAUUCACUAUCAUGAGAACAGUAAGGGGGGAACUGCCCCAUGAUUCAAUUACCUCUCACCAGGUCCCUCCCACAACACAUGGGAAUUAUGGAAGCUACAAUUCAAGAUGAGAUUUGGGUAGGGACACAGCCAAACCAUAUCAGGGUGGUUAUGGGAAGCUGAGAAACCAGGGUAGUUAUGGGAAUCUGAGAAACCAAACCUGUAAGUCAGGGAAACCCUCAGAAGCUGUAGCCUUCAGGAGUGGACAGGGAGGGAGCCAAAGCAGUAAGUCCCUUCAUGACAUUGUCCUCCCUUUCAUCAAGCUCCUGCUGGUUUCCACAUCUGGAAACCAGAGGGAAAAGGAAUCUGUUGAUUGGGGUUUUCCAGGGUGCUGAGCAGGGUGGAGAGUGGGUCUGGAGGGGCAAAUGAAAA
rnacentral:lncRNA from 1 species